rnacentral:rRNA from 1 species
UCGAGAAUCUUCGGCAAUGGGGGCAACCCUGACCGAGCGACGCCGCGUGUGGGAUGAAGGCCCUUGGGUUGUAAACCACUGUCAGAGGGGAUGAAGUGCAUGGGGGUUCUCCCCCGUGUUUGACAUAGCCUCAGAGGAAGCACGGGCUAAGUUCGUGCCAGCAGCCGCGGUAAGACGAACUGUGCAAACGUUAUUCGGAAUCACUGGGCUUGAAGAGUGCGUAGGCGGUUUCGUAAGUAGGGUGUGAAAGCCCCCGGCUCAACCGGGGAACUGCGUCCUAAACUGCGAGGCUGGAGUGAGGUAGGGGUGUGUGGAACUUCCAGUGGAGCGGUGAAAUGUGUUGAUAUUGGAAGGAACGCCGGUGGCGAAAGCGACACACUGGGCCUUGUCUGACGCUGAGGCACGAAAGCCAGGGGAGCAAACGGGAUUAGAUACCCCCGUAGUCC